GAUAUAACUUUUAAUACUUUACUAAUAAAUAACUGUUUUUAUAUGUAAAAUUUCAGUUUUCUAGUACAAAAAAUACAAUAAAACAUUUUUUUUUUACAGAUGUUCAUAUAAUUAUUUUUUUUUUGCUUUUUUCUUAGAAAACUCAGAUUUUUCUUAGAAAUAUUUUUCUUAAUCUACAUAUGAUCUUUGUGCUAACCACUCCCAUAGGUGUUUAAAACAACAAUAAAAUAAUAUAGGAAUUUUUUUUAGCCCUUCAAACAUCAAAGCAGAUUUUUCCAAAACAUUUCUAGUUUCCAGUACAUCUAGAUUCACUGUUUUCAUGACUUCCCUGUUUUAUUAUCUACAGUGACGACACCUCAUAAUUCUCCAUGAAGUUUAUUACCUAAACAGUCAUCGUGGACGUUGUCACCGAGGAAGACGAAUGAAAAUAUAUAAGACUGGUGCUCAAAUUGUUCGGCGCUCCUGAUUGGAUGAGGGCUUCAGCAGGAGCGAUGCGGUUGCUACCUCUAUGGACCUGGACUACCCAGAAGCCUGCAUUACCUGUCCAGGCAUCUCCUCCGCCGCUGGAAAGGCAGACGGCUCUCACGCUCGGAGCUCCGCAGCCAGAAAUGAGUGCCAUGUGGGGGGAGAGAGACUGUACCCGACCACAGCAGAGAGUCUGAGGUGGCGCCUCGACGCCUGGAGCCCGCCGCCGUGCCCCCAGGCUGCCAGAUCGACCGCGAUUCAAGUGUUAGAUUUUGUUAGAUUUAAGAGCGCUCAGCCUCGGAGCCUCCCCUCCUCUCCUCUGUGAUCCUAGCGCUGAUUUAUAUCGGGGAAAUGUUGAUGACAACGUUCUGAUGUAUAACAGGAUGAAUAAAAGCUGUGGGAACCCAACAUUGUUUGGGUCUUCUUUUAAGGGGGCGCGCGGAGGGGAAGAUCCUGGAACGUCACUUACGUCCAUCUCUGGGCUCUGCCAACAAUUCCCUCUUUAAUCAAAAGCAAAUAUUCACCAGUUGGGCUGCGCCCAUACGCUGGAGAUUACUCGAUUCUACCCGGAUUACGUAAUCCAUGUCAGUCUGUUGACCCCGCCCUGAGUUAAAAGCUCGCCGUAAAAGCGGUUCAUUAGUCCGAGGCCGUCUUAAAGGAUUUUCCAUCACGGAGUCGCUGCAAACAAAACCACACAUUUCUUAGAGGUUUUGAUGAAAUAGCCAACAAAACUGGUUCUAAUUUACCUUUCAGACAUUUGUUUUUACUCAAAGAAGUCGGAGCAUGUACUGGAGCCCCUCCC